GUAUGACGUAGACUACACCAGGGUCAAAGCAGCAAGCAGCAUUGAGCAGAUGCCAAAUCACCAAAGUCAAAGCCGCAAGCAGAGUUGAGCGGGUUUGUAGCUUCACAAAACUGAGCAAAACCAAUUCAGAUGGUUUAAUGCUUUAUA